rfam:Lupinus angustifolius cultivar Tanjil contig_44362, whole genome shotgun sequence.
GUGAGUCAUGUGAUGGGAAACCUUCCCGCACGGUUCAGAGAGCACUAAAUUAGAAUGAGAGGUUCACCACCAUAUCAUUGCAUGCAAGGAGAGCUCGCUCGAUUUUCAGAAUCAAAUUGGUCCGACUCGUAAUUCACUUCUGACUCCAU